rnacentral:rRNA from 1 species
GACAGAGGUGCCAAGCGUUAGGCGGAAUCACUGGGCUUAAAGCGUGUGUAGGCGGGCGAUCAAGUACCUUGUGAAAUCCCACGGCUCAACCGUGGAACUGCUGGGUAUACUGGUUGUCUUGAGCCAGCUAGGGGCGAGCGGAACAGACGGUGGAGCGGUGAAAUGCGUAGAUAUCAAGUGGAACACCAGUGGCGAAGGCGAGUCCCUGGACAACUCCUGACACUGAGGCACGAAAGCUAGGGGAGCAAACAGG